AGCAUGUGGUUUAAUUCGAAGCAACGCGAAGAACCUUACCAGGUCUUGACAUCCCUGACAACCCGAGAGAUCGGGCGUUCCCCUUCGGGGGGACAGGGUGACAGGUGGUGCAUGGUCGUCGUCAGCUCGUGUCGUGAGAUGUUGGGUUAAGUCCCGCAACGAGCGCAACCCUUAUCCUUUGUUGCCAGCGGUCCGGCCGGGAACUCAAAGGAGACUGCCAGUGAUAAACUGGAGGAAGGUGGGGAUGACGUCAAGUCAUCAUGGCCCUUACGACCAGGGCUACACACGUGCUACAAUGGCGCAUACAAAGAGAAGCGACCUCGCGAGAGCAAGCGGACCUCAUAAAGUGCGUCGUAGUCCGGAUUGGAGUCUGCAACUCGACUCCAUGAAGUCGGAAUCGCUAGUAAUCGUGGAUCAGAAUGCCACGGUGAAUACGUUCCCGGGCCUU
rnacentral:rRNA from 1 species